ACCUGCAUGCUGCAGAUUGUUCAUUUUCAGCAGCAGCUCCAGGACCCGCUCAGACCACACGGCUAACGCCAUAGAUAUACAGGAGGUAACACAGUCCACUCCAACUGUAGUCUGCUCCACAGGAGGUAACACAGUCCACUCCAACUGUAGUCUGCUUCACAGGAGGUAAUACAGUCCACUCCAACUGUAGUCUGCUUCACAGGAGGUAACACAGUCCACUCCAACUGUAGCCGCUCCACAGGAGGUAACACAGUCCACUCCAACUGUAGCCGCUCCACAGGAGGUAACACAGUCCACUCCAACUGUAGUCCGCUCCACAGGAGGUAACACAGUCCACUCCAAAUGCAGAGCUGACAAUACACAAUACUACAGAAUCCACCUCCUGCAAACCUACCAGGAAAGUAAAAUGCAGUUCACGCCUGCAAAAAUACAACACAGCCUGCUCCAACAGUGCAGAGAGAACACGCAGCCUGCUCCAACAGUGCAGAGAGAACACGCAGCCUGCUCCAACAGUGCAGAGAGAACACGCAGCCUGC